rnacentral:snoRNA from 1 species
ACCUCAUGAUUUGGGCAUUGGGCUAGCUUUCCAUUAAACCUCUCCCAUCCUUCAAACAAUGGUUCUCAUUCAAUUGCCAGAAGUUUACAAUCUCUUCUCGCUUUUGAAGCC